rnacentral:rRNA from 1 species
ACAGGUCGGUUACUAUCUAUUAGGGGUGUUUUGAGGUCUGAGGGUAAGUUGCAUUUAGUACGAGAGGAACUGUGCAACGGUGCCACUGGUGGACCUGUUGUCUGGUAAGGCAUCGCAGGGCAGCUACGCACUAAAGGAUAAAAGCUGAAAGCAUCUAAGCUUGAAACCUCACCUAAAAAGAGACUUCUUAGGACUCUCGUAAAAGACGAGUUUGAUAGAGUCGGGGUGUAAGCACCAAGGUGACGAGGUGUUAAGCCCGUCGACUACUAACGUCCACGCUAGAUUUUGU